rnacentral:rRNA from 1 species
UGGGGAAUAUUGCACAAUGGAGGGAACUCUGAUGCAGCGACGCCGCGUGAACGAAGAAGGCUUUCGAGUCGUAAAGUUCUUUUAUAUGGGAAGAUAAUGACGGUACCAUAAGAAGAAGCCCCGGCUAACUACGUGCCAGCAGCCGCGGUAAUACGUAGGGGGCUAGCGUUGUCCGGAAUCACUGGGCGUAAAGGGUUCGCAGGCGGAAAUGCAAGUCAGGUGUAAAAGGCAGUAGCUUAACUACUGUAAGCAUUUGAAACUGCAUAUCUUGAGAAGAGUAGAGGUAAGUGGAAUUUUUAGUGUAGCGGUGAAAUGCAUAGAUAUUAAAAAGAAUACCGGUGGCGAAGGCGACUUACUGGGCUCAUUCUGACGCUGAGGAACGAAAGCGUGGGUAGCAAACAGG